rnacentral:rRNA from 1 species
CAAGUCAUCAUGGCCCUUACGACCAGGGCUACACACGUGCUACAAUGGCAUAUACAAAGAGAAGCGACCUCGCGAGAGCAAGCGGACCUCAUAAAGUAUGUCGUAGUCCGGAUUGGAGUCUGCAACUCGACUCCAUGAAGUCGGAAUCGCUAGUAAUCGUAGAUCAGAAUGCUACGGUGAAUACGUUCCCGGGCCUUGUACACACCGCCCGUCACACCAUGGGAGUGGGUUGCAAAAGAAGUAGGUAGCUUAACCUUCGGGAGGGCGCUUACCACUUUGUGAUUCAUGACUGGGGUGAAGUCGUAACAAGGUAACCGUAGGGGAACCUGCGGUUGGAUCACCUCCUU